rnacentral:rRNA from 1 species
GUCCUUUAGAAUUUAAUUUAAGGUCUAGCCUGCCCACUGAAAUUAGUUUUAAAUGGCCGCAGUAAUUUGACUGUGCAAAGGUAGCAUAAUCAUUAGUUUUUUAAUUGAAAGCUUGUAUGAAAGGUUGGACGAGGUAAAAUCUGUCUCUAAUUAAUUUAAUUUAGAAUUUAACUUUUAAGUUAAAAGGCUUAAAUAUGAUUAAAAGACGAGAAGACCCUAUAGAUCUUUAUAAUUUAUUUAUUAAAUUUAAUUAAGAAUUUUUAAAAUUUUAUUAAUUUAAUUAUUUUAUUGGGGUAAUGUAAAGAUUAAAUUAAUUCUUUUUUUUUAUUAACAUUAAUUUAUGAUUUUAUGAUCCAAUUUUAUUGGUUAUAAGAUUAAGUUACCUUAGGGAUAACAGCGUUAUUUUUUUAGAGAGUUCUUAUCGAUAAAAAAGUUUACGACCUCGAUGUUGGAUUAAAGAUUAUUUUAGGCGCAGAAGUUUAAAAAUUUUGGUCUGUUCGACCAUUGAAUCUUUACAUGAUCUGAGUUCAGACCGGUGUAAGCCAGGUCGGUUUCUAUCUUUAGUAAAUUAAAAUAUUUUAGUACGAAAGGACCAAUUAUUUAAUAUAAAAUAUUUAAAUUUUGAUUAUUAUUAG